rnacentral:lncRNA from 1 species
UGACUGUUAUUAAUUAAGAUUUGCUCUAAACUUGAACUUGUGGGAAGAGUACUUGAUCUAAAGUCUAAGUCGUUAACGGAUAUGAUAUGGGAAGGUUGAGCUGCUGUUUAUCUGUUCCUAGAGAUGCUAGAAUUCUGGAGAAUUUUAUCUUUGAAAAUCUUUAAAAUAACACAUGAUGAGUUCCUGUAUGAUGAGAGUUUAAAUUCCUACCACAGCCAUAUAUACAUGCUUGCUAGACUAUGAGCCACACAUUUACUUUUUACUGCUUAUGAGCAUUGAGUGUGGUCAAGCUGUGUAGACCCUUAGGAGCUUGUCAUGUGGUUAAAUCAAGAUUCACUUGCACGUUCACUCAUACAUGCUGCUUCUACUCUGGAAGUACGCAUCCACAUACAUCCACUCAUUUCCAUCUCCAAAACCAUCCAAAAAUAUUCUACUCCUAAUCUGGGAGAGAAUAGCUAAAAACAUUCUCCUAUUUUGUUUUCCCCUAUGAAAUAAAUGCUCAAGUUAUCUUGGUUACUACCACUUGCUAUAUUAUUUCAGGAGAUGAGUGCUCAAAAAAAAGAAAGAAAAAAAAGAAAUACGAGGAAAUAAAAAGGGGCAAGUGCCCGGAACCUCGAAAGAAAAGAAAAAGUGAGACGAGAGGUAAAAAUGGACAAGUGUCCGACAGUAGAAUUAGGGGUACAAAAUACCCACCUGAGAGAAAAGAAAAAGAAAAUAUAGAGCAUCUCAUUCUCCUCAAAAAGUUUCAAAAGAGCAAGAAAGGUAUGUAUCCCCUCAAAAGAGCACAAGUAGAAUUAGACUUUCACCAUUGUUAUCACCAUCAUUACCAUGCACCAUUCAUUCGCCACACAUGCACAUCUUGAUUUGACUUAUUGACUUGUUCUUCUGGAUCCAUGGUUUGACUAUGCAAUAAAUGUCUUAUAAGUAUGUAUUAGCUGUCUCUCACCUAUGAGCUCCAGAUAUCAAAACCUUAUUAGAGUAGGGUGAGAGAGAAGGCAAUGCCACUAUGCCUCAUACCAAAAAUACUACAUACUUUGAGAGAAAGCAUACACCAUUACUACCUUGGUAAGGAUCCAGAAAUACCACAAAAGAGAGACUAGAGAGAGGCAUACAAGGAAUCUCGGAGUUUUAUUUGAAAAUCUGCAAAAACUCCAGAGCUAUAGUUGAUCAAGAAUAAGAGACAUGGCGCUUGACUAGACCGUUCUAUCUUUUAACUGCUCAAGACACAAGUGACGGUUGCAAGCCCCAUGGUGGAAGGUAAUAUGAGUAAGUUUAAAUCUUAACAGUUUACCCUAACCCAUAGAUGAGAUCUUGUUUGAACGCAUGUGUAUCUUUAAGGUAUGAAACCACUGCAGAAACUCUUGAGUUCAUCUUUGCUCACGGACGAGCAAAGGUUAAGCUUGGGGGAGCUUGUUGACGGUCCUUAAUGCUCAUAUUUAACCAUCAAUUAAUCAUGGAAAAGGAUCCAAAUGCAACCAACACCUAGACUUAGGGUUUUAUCUGACAGAAUUCCACGAGUUUUGGUGUUUGUCUAUUUCUGCAGGGGGUUAUCAGGAAAUAUGAAAGAAAGGCCCACACGUCGGGUUUACAUAGAGAUAUUAAUGUGCCGCGCAAUUUUCUACCAUCUAGAAGACUCCAGAAGCCACGGGAACGAACGGGAGGCCGAUCGUGCCCGAGGGCAGGGCGCCCGCCCAAGUCCCUUGGGUGCCCGCCCAGCUACAGUAACCAAUCAGCUUCAACUUCGCGGAUCGUGCUCCACCGACCUAAGGGACCAAGGAAAACCGUGCGAUUAAUGUCGGUUUGAUCCGACGGCCCAGAUUCAUCUGAAAAGACUAUAUAAGCAAGGCCCCCUGGCCCCUGGAGAGCAUACCUCUUCUACAGAAUCAAAGCUAGGGUUUCAAUUCUUCAUCCAAGUAGAGAGGAUCCCUCUAGUUCUUCUAGUUCUACCUCUAGUUCAUCUAGAUCUAGUUCUAGUUCAUCUAGUUCUAGUUCUAGUUCCUCUAGUUCUAGUUCUAGUUAGUUCUAGUUGUAAUCCAGAAAAUAGGGAGAGAGAAGAGGAGAGCGGAGGAGGAGCCGGAUCUGUCGGAUCUUCCUCAACAUUGUACUUUUGCAGCAACUGGUUCGUUCUUCAUCGUUCUCCAGGUUCUUCAAUUCAUAAUUCCUGAGUUCUUUAAUUACUUUUAUUUACAUUCAAGUUAUUUAUUGGAUUCCCGCUUGCAUCAAGUGCUCUAGUCUUUGUAACGCUAGAGUAGUAAUUAAUAGAUUAGACGUGGUGUUUAGUCUUGCAAUUACCUGAAAUUGCACCCAAUCCUGCGGAUUGUUGUGGUAGCCUUAGGGUAGUGACAGCCCUAACGGUCGACGUAUUCCACCUCGUUCGGAUCGGUGUUUGUAGGACCGUAGUCAGAGCUUCCUAGCCCCCUUCUCAUCUCUUUCUGUGGUUAGUGUUCUGAUGUCCCGAAAUAGAUAAUCUUGAAGUAAUUCUUGAUUCUUAGAUCAACUAGAGAACUCUCAGGAAACUUCCUCUCUUCCCACCAAAAAUAAUUAUAUAGUUAUCCUUGGGCGAUCUUGGAUCUUAAUUAGUACACUCACGUUCUCUGUGGAAAAUCGAUACUUUGGAAUACUCCCGGGUGAAAGCUACAUCGGUAUUCGUGCGCUUGUGGAUUUUUCUGUUUGCGUUUAAAAUACCCAACAGGCGCGCAAUUUUCUACCAUCUAGAAGACUCCAGAAGCCACGGGAACGAACGGGAAGGAAAUCGGGCUCGGAGGCGGGGCGCCCGCCCAGCUACAGUGCCCAAUCAGGACACGUUUCGCGGAUUAUGCUCCACCGACCUAAAGGAUCAAGGAAAACCGUGCGAUCAAUGUCGGUUUGAUCCGACGGCCCAGAUUCACUUGAAGGGACUAUAAAACCAGACCCUCCUGGCCCCUGGAGAUCAUACCUCUUCUACAGAAUCAAAGUUAGUAUUUCAAUUCUUCAUCCAAGUAGAGAGGAUCCCUCUAGUUCUUCUAGUUCUACCUCUAGAUUAUCUAGAUCUAGUUCUAGUUCAUCUAGCUCUAGUCCUAGUUCCUCUAGUUCUAGUUCGAGUUAGUUCUAGUUGUAAUCUAGAAAAUAGGGAGAGAGAAGAGGAGAGCGGAGGAGGAGCCGGAUCUGUCGGAUCUUCCUCAACAUUAUACUUUUGCAGCAUCUGGUUUGUUCUUCAUCGUUCUCCAGGUUCUUCAAUUCAUAAUUCCUGAGUUCUUUAAUUACUUUUAUUUACAUUCAAGUUAUUUGUUGGAUUCCCGCUUGCAUCAAGUGCUCUAGUCUUUAUAACGCUAGAGUAGUAAUUAAUAGAUUAGACGUGGUGUUUAGUCUUGCGAUUACCUGGAAUUGCACCCAAUCCUGCGGAUUGUUGUGGUAGCCUUAGGGUAGUGACAGCCCUAACGGUCGACGUAUUCCACCAUGUUCGGAUCGGUGUUUGUAGGACCGUAGUCAGACCUUCCUAGCCCCCUUCUCAUCUCUUUCUGUGGUUAGUGCUCUGAUGUCCCGAUAUAAAUAAUCUUUGAAGUAAUUCUUGAUUCUUAGAUCAACUAGAGAACUCUCAGGAAACUUCCUCUCUUCCCACCAAAAAUAAUUAUAUAGUUAUCCUUGGGCGAUCUUGAAUCUUAAUUAGUACACUCACGUUCCCUGUGGAAAAUCGAUACUCUGGAAUACUCCCGGGUGAAAGCUACAUCGGUAUCCGUGCGCUUGCGGAUUUUUCUGUUUGCGUUUAAAAUACCCAACAAGCUUUCUGGCGCCGUUGCCGGGGAACGGUAGCUGUGCUAAUUUCGAACCAAGUCGUCCGUGUAUCCAUUUUCUUUUCCUUUUUUACCACACUCACCUUACCAUUUUCACCAUACCACAUGGAUUUCACUCUAAGCAUUAAUGAGCAUGGAAUUUAUUUCAUAGCCACUUCAUUUACUCCAUGCUCAUAUGCAACAUCUUCAAAAUCCAUUGGUUUUUCCAACAUCACCACAUUCGAGAUCUCCAACCCCCUCAUCCUUUCUAUUUAUAAAAACUUUAACAGGGCGGUUGUCGAUGCAUAUGUCUAUAAGAAAUAUUGCAGAUCUCGUUGAGUCGAUCUUGAUAUAGGUCAGCGUUGGAGGGGAAACCACUUCACUGACAUAAAUCGAUGGUUUCCCAAGGACAAGCUUAGUGUCCUAAAACAAGCACUGAUCAGAUUGUAACAUGAGCUCUUAAUUAUUUACAACAUUACCUUGUGUAUUGAGCAUAUAAGGAUAAUUGUAAAAAAAAUUCCUUCGGGUAUUCUUGUCACUAACCUUUUCAGGAUUAGAGCAAGAAGAUCGGAUGAAUGACAAGCACAAGGUAUGUCCAACCAACUAUCAUACAACAUUGAAUUAAAUUCAUCCAAACUUGAAUUUUGCAAAAUUCAGGCUUGGGGGAGUACUUUACAUAAAAACAUCCUUUGCCAUGUUGCUACGUUAGUUGUCUCUACCUUUGAGACAUGCUCAAUUUGUUAAACACUAAUCACACUACUUCAUCUCCACUUGAGUAGAUCUCUAUAAAUGCUCUCAUACCACCUUUAUUUGCUUUAGUAUAUGUCUAGGCUUGGAGUAGUUUCAUUUAUCUCUUAAUUAAGCAUGGUGCUUAGUUUAGGAAUGAUGAUCUUGCUUCCAAAGGAUUUUAAAUUAAGCAUGGUGCUUAGGUUAAAAUUCCCUCCUAAAUCAAAUUAGACAUGGUGUCUAGGUUGAUCUUUGAGUCGAUAGUAUGCUAUAGUAGAUAUUGGAUAUUUUGUUGGACUAACCCCCUGCAGGGAAACUUUCAAUAUCGACCUGGGAAGUCAUGAGAUAAACUCACAAUGGAGACAAAGAGAGACACACAUGAAGUUUAACAAUUUACACAAGGAAGACAUAGGUCACAAGAGAUGAUCCAUGGAGGGUGCCACCAACAUGAUGCACAACCACUAAGAAAGGGAAGCUUCCACAAGGUGAUAUUGUACCAUCACUCUUCAAGUAAGGUAACAUCUUAAGGUACUUGACUAUCACUUCCAUAAGCUUUUCCUUGGUUUUGGCGUUCACAUGAAUAAAAGAGACAAACAUGCAUGAUUUACAACUCUAGAUUAACCAACCCAAUCGAUUCAAUAUGUUUAGUCCUUACACCUUUGUGAUCCCACACUCCUAAUCAUAUAUACUAAAAUGUCGCACACUCAAUCUUUGGAGGAUAUAUUUUAUAAAAAAACAUAAAUAUAGAUAGAUUAUCUUUCCAUUUGGUUGAGCGAUCUGAUCUGACAAAUGUUUUAAAUGCUACACUCAUGAUUUUAUUAUCCAUUAAGUUUGUCUUGCUCACUAUGCUUAAGGUUAGAGAAGAACAAAUACACUUUUGGUUCUGUUGGUGUUUUCCACCAAUAGGGCCCAUGCACUUGAUCUCUGCCUUGUCUCUAUGAGCAGGUACACUUCAAGCAAACUAUGAAGGACUUUUACAACUCCUAGACUCCACCAAGUGAUGAACCUAGAUCUACGAGCACAAACACACUAGAGAUACUGGACACUCCGGCAAUCACUGCCCUGAGAUGCUUGAGGACGUAACUACUGGAGCAACCCCGUUGUGGAAGUAAUUACUGACCUUCUGCCGGUUAAGAGAGACAACCCAGGGCACCCCGUCAUCCCGAUCUCCGUCGGCAUGGUGGACUUCCUAGAAGCACUCUGUGACUUUGGCUCCAGCAUCAACAUUAUGCCCAGGGUACUCUAUGAAAAAUUCUUUACACAUCCUUUAUUAGAAAUAGCCAUGUGUUUGCAGCUUGCAGAUCGUACGCUAAGUUUCCCAAGGAGAAUAUUGAAGAACCUCUACGUCCAAGUUGGUACCUUAUACGCUCCAGCAGACUUCGUGGUGAUAGAGACUGAUACUGAUGAGAAGGCACCCAUCAUCCUAGCGAGGCCAUUCCUGAACACCUCAGGAGCUGUCAUCUACGCUACUGCUGCCAAGAUCAAUUUCUACAUCAAGGCAAGGAAGGAGACGUUUUCCUUCAAGAACAAGACUGCACAAAUCUCAGAGCAAUCCCGACAUGAACCAAGGAAGAGGACCAACAGGAGGAACAGGAACAAGCAAGUGUGGACUGAGUCAGCUAAGAUGGUCACUGCAGUUCAAGGAGGUCAAGAUCAUCUAUUUAAGUCACCGUUCCUGACCAAAAAGGACAACCCAGGCAUGCCAAACAUCUAGUGCUCCAUUAAUGGAUACAACUUCGAGAGAUGCUUUGCGACACCGAGUCAGGCGUCAACAAAAUGGCCGCAGUCACCUAUCAACUCCUGUUCGGAACCAUGCUCCUAAACUCGACAUACAUUCAGCUCUAGAUGGCAGAUCAGACAUUCUGAAAGGUUGAAGGUUAUUGACAUGGGAGAAGACGAGUACGAUCCACCCAUCAUCCUUGGAAGACCAAUCCUCAGCACCGUUAAAGCAAUCAUCUACAUUGGAACCAGAGAAGUUCACAUUCACUUCACCUCUGAGAAGGUACGCCGCUAUUUUACUGACCCUAACUAUAUAGUUGAAGACUAUAAGCAGGUCAGGACAAGAAGACGACGACGCAACCGCAACCAGAGGAGGCAAAUCAUCAAGGACGGAUGGGUAGACUAUGAAGGAGAAGUUGUAAGGUCUGAAGACAUACAACUUGAACAGAACUGUCCUGAGGAGACCAUAGCACCGAGUCAGGUGUGGAGAAAGAAGAUAGUUAUACAUGAAGAGCAGGCGCCGCCGGAACCACCGACUACGCCAUCCAGCGAAUCCCAGGACGUCUGAGAAAAUAGAGAGUUCCGUUUGGAGGACUUAAAAACACCGAACGCCUUACCAAGAGGUAAACUUGGUAGUUAUCUUUUUCCUUUCAAUUAUUUUAAAAUAGUUUGCUUAGUUAAUCAGGUUCAUAUCAUCUCGAAAAGAAAAUAAAAAUGUUAAAAAUAGUAAGACCCAUGUGAGUAUGCUCAUGGCAUAAAACCCAUAAGUACAUUCACUGUGGUGGCGUAAAAAUAUAAUAAAUAUAUUCCUGUCCUAUAAAAAAAAUUAUAAAAAAUAAAUUUAUGAUCCUACUAAAGAGUGUAACAUUUAUUGAGGAGGCUCAACAUGAUAAAGGCUAAAUAUUUAUGCUAACACUUAAUUAGUUCCACAAAGCUUUGUUGUCUAUUUGAGCUCCACAGAAUUCAAGGAUCAAAGAAGACUAGCAGACGGAGGACAUCCUAAUCAGUGUCAGGGUGCUGCCGACAUGCAAAUACACCUCCGCCACCAGCUAGCUACAUCAGAAGGAAUUAUGUCAAAAUCUAGCUUGGGGGAGAGCACCCCCAUUUAUCCAGCUAAGUGUUUCUACUCACGUUUAUACUUUACUCUAAUAAUAAAAAGAUGCGUAAUCAUAGAAACCCAAAUAAAGAUUUUGUGCUUAUAUAUAUCUUUGCUUAGUUUGCUAAAUAAAUAAAUAAAUAAAGUUUACUAUGAACCCUCAUGAUAAGCUCUCACAUGGAAAUGAUGAAUAGUUGCUCUGCCAUGACUAGUUCUUAAAAUUGAAAUCUCUCUCAAGUUUAGGCAUGACUGUUAUUAAUUAAGAUUUGCUCUAAACCUGAACUUGUGGGAAGAGUACUUGAUCUAAAGUCUAAGUCGUUAACGGAUAUGAUAUGGGAAGGUUGAGCUGCUGUUUAUCUGUUCCUAGAGAUGCUAGAAUUCUGGAGAAUUUUAUCUUUGAAAAAUCUUUAAAAUGACACUUGAUGAGUUCCUGUAUGAUGAGAGUUUAAAUUCCUACCACAGCCAUAUAUACAUGCUUGCUAGACUUUGAGCCACACAUUUACAUUUUACUGCUUAUGAGCAUUGAGUGUGGUCAAGCUGUGUAGACCCUUAGGAGUUUGUCAUGUGGUUAAAUCAAGAUUCACUUGCACGUUCACUCAUACAUGCUGCUUCUACUCAGGAAGUACCAUCCACAUAUAUCCAUUUCCAUCUCCAGAACUACCCAAAAAUAUUCUACUCCUAAUCCGGGAGAGAAUAGCCAAAAAUAUUUUUGUUUUUCCGCGGUGAAAUAAAUGCUCAAGUUAUCUUGGUUACUACCACUUGCUACAUCAUUUCAAGAGAUGAGUGCUCUGAAAAAAAAUAGAAAGAAAAAAAAAGAGAGAAUACGAGGAAAUAAAAAGGGGCAAGUGCCCGGAACCUCAAAAGAAAAGAAAAAGUGAGAUGAGAGGUAAAAAUGGACAAGUGUCCGACAGUAGAAUUAGGGGUACAAGAUACCCACCUGAGAGGAAAGAAAAAGAAAAUACAGAGCAUCUCAUUUUCCCCAAAAGUUUCAAAAGAGCAAGGAAGGUAUGUAUCCCCUCAAAAGAGCAAAAGUAGAAUUAGACUUUCACCAUUGUUAUCACCAUCAUCACCAUACACCAUUCAUUCGCCACACAUGCACAUCUUGAUUUGACUUAUUGACUUGUUCUUCUGGAUCCAUGGUUUGACUAUGCAAUAAAUGUCUUGUAAGUAUGUAUUAGCUGUCUCCCACCUAUGAGCUCUAGAUAUCAAAAGCCUUAUUAGAGUAGGGUGAGAGAGAAGGCAAUACCACUAUGCCUCAUACCAAAAAUACCACAUACUCUGAGAGAAGGCAUACACCAUUACUGCUUUGGUAAGGAUCCAGAAAUACCACAAAUGAGAGACUAGAGAGAGUCAUACAAGGAAUCUCUGAGUUUUAUUUGAAAAUCUGCAAAAAACUCCAGAGCUAUAGUUAAUCGAAGAACAAGAGACAUGGUGCUUGACUAGACUGUUCUAUCUUUUAACUACUCAAGACAGAAGUGACGGUUACAAGUCCCAGAGUGGAAGGUAAUAUGAGUAAGUUUAAAUCUUAACAGUUUACCCUAACCUAGAGAUGAGAUCUUGUUUGAACCCAUGUGUAUCUUUAAGGUAUGAAACCACUGCA